rnacentral:rRNA from 1 species
GCCGCGUGAACGAAGAAGGCUUUCGAGUCGUAAAGUUCUGUUAUAGGGGAAGAAGAAGUGACGGUACCCUAUGAGAAAGCCACGGCUAAUUACGUGCCAGCAGCCGCGGUAAUACGUAAGUGGCAAGCGUUAUCCGGAAUUACUGGGCAUAAAGAGUUCGUAGGCGGUUAAACAAGCCAAUAGUGAAAUCCACCAGCCUAACUGGUGUCAGCUAAUGGAACUGUAUAACUUGAGUACAGGAGAGGAAAGUGGAAUUCCUAGUGUAGUAGUGAAAUGCGUAGAUAUUAGGAAGAACAUCAGUAGCGAAGGCGACUUUCUGGACUG